rnacentral:lncRNA from 1 species
ACCUUGGUUCAGACUCCACACGAAUAAUGCAGCGCAUCUGUGUUUCACGCCGAACAAGGACCUACGGGCGCCGGCGAUCGCCGGAUCUUUAUGAAAUUAUCUCAACAUCACCCAGAGACAUAGUAUAAUCAAAGCAGGAAGCGAGGCAGGGAUAAACACGAACCGGAUAGGAUACCGAUCAUAGGUGGAACUGACACUGCGACACACACACACCACAACAACAAGCUCCAGCUGAGCAGACGCAGGCACGGUGGCCGGCGAGAGUGGCACCGCGUCGCUCGCUGGCUGCUGACUGGGCACUGGGCCUCGACACGACAACACUUUUAUUUAGCCCACGUCACCGCGCGACCCCGCGCAAAGCACCCCACACCUAGUACGUACUCGUAGUAAAAAGGUAGCACCCCACUCCACUCCACUGGCUGACUGAGCAUCGCGCCGUGCCACGUAGGAGCACACGGCCGCCGCCGCCGUGGACGCGCGCCUCACACGCUCACGGUGGCCUCCUCUGCCGCGGCCGCGGGCGCCUCCUCCGCUGCAGCCGGCGCUUCCUCGGCGACGGCCGCCACCUCCGGCUCGGCGGCAGCGGGUGCCGCCUCCUCCUCCUUCACCUCCUCGGCCGCCGCCGCCGGCUCGGCCUCUGCCACGGCCUCCUUGGUCUCCGUCUCGACCACGGCUGGCGCCUCGGCCACCGGCUCGGCCGCAGCUGCCGGCUCGGGCUCCUUGGCCUCCUCCGUCACGGCGGCGGCCGGCGCCUCCUCCUUGGCCGCCUCGACCUCGACGGGGGCAGGCGCCUCGACCUCGGCCUCCGCCGGCGCGGGGACCUCCUCCGUCUUCGCGGCCUCCUCGGCGGCCACGGGCGUCUCCACCGCCGGCGCCUCCUCCGUCAGCGCGGCCGUCGGGUUCUGGACCUGCACGUUUGCACACUCAAUGCCAUCAGCCCCACGCACAUGCCAGCACGUACACAAACCGAUCAAGCUCGAGCUCGACCACGAUCAUGGGCGUUCGUCAGAUCGCGUAGAUCCAUCGGAACGACCAUCGAUCCGAGAACAUGAAAGAGAACAGACGAUCGAUCGAUCCGAUCGAGGCAAGCUAGCUAUACGUACAUCAGCGGUGGCCAUUGCCGUGGUGGAAGCAAGAAAAUGCCCGGAGCUAGCUGAAGCUAGUGCUACUGUGACCCUGUUGUGUGCCUGUGGCUGAUCCGAUGAGAGAGUGUGAGGCGUGUGUGUCUGUGUGGAGCAAUGGAGGCUAUAUAUAGCGGCCUCCGGAGGCCAAAACGGGGAGAACACAAACGCAAAUCGAAGGCCAAAAAAAUUUAAAAACGAAGCCGAUCGACGGGUCGAGGAAAUAAACAAGCCGAGUCCGUCUCAUGAUGAUCGGGAAUCUGGGGAGCUGUAUGUGCAAAUAAGCACGUCCUGACGACGUGCGGUUGUACGUGCGCGUCAUGCCAUCGAAGUAAAAGGUGGCCCGUGAGUCAUGACACUGUGUAAAGGGUCCAAAGAACAUACCAGGGUGCCCGUGCACGGCCCGCGUCUAGUUCAUCUCGCUCCACAUGUUGCUCGAUCAGGAUCGGUCGUGCCACACACACACAAAUAUAUGUUCGAGAGAAAAGUUGCGAGAUUCUUGAACUUAUUUUCCAUUUUCCAUAAGUUUCCGUGUACGAUCGGCCCUGCUGUCACGUUGAUGUGUGUGCCGUGUGCUGGCCAAACCUGAUCCGGCCCUGGUGGCAGUGGCAACAUGCAAGUGGGACCUUUUGAGGUGUACACAACAACACAUCUCGUCCUCCUUGCACGUUCUGCGCCGUCCUUUCCAUCGGACCGUCGAUCCCUUACCGAUUAAUUAAAUAUAAAUGAAGCCCUCGCCGAUUUAGCCGUAGCAGUAAUCGAUUCCAUCAUCUGUGAUUUGGAUCGAAACGUAUUUGAUUAGCCUUUGUUUUGUACGUACGAGAUUACGAUAGCUGAGCAGGGGCGGCUGUCGUCCGGGUUGGCGUGGAGACAAUGGAGUUGGAACCGAUGAAUGUGCGCGCCUGAAUAGUCGCGAUUUGGUUUUGGGAUUUAGGUUAGCUCUCCGUCUCAGGGUAGUACGUGGCCACCCGGCCUAUGCUACCGUAUAGACUUUCUUUUCCAGCAGUACGUAUGUUCUUUUUCUUUUUCCUUUUUCUUUUCGAGAUGUGACGUGAUGUGGAUCGGUGAAACCUAAUUAAGGUCCUGGUUACGCAUAUGUUUGCUGAUGGAGAGGGGGAGGGCGGCAUUCACUCAUUUUGCAAAACGAUUAUAUAUAUAUAUAUAUAUUGUCAUACACAGUAUGUAUGAUGUGCUAGGUAAUCCAGGGGUAAAAGUUUCUUUUAUUAUAGAAAAAAAAAUAAGGUGGUGGUGUCGAAUGGACCAAGGUUUUUUGUGAGAGCAAUUCCAGAUCCCCAAGCAAUCACCGCUGGAAUCGUGUCCCUGUUCUAGCGCUACAGUGGUAGCCUGCAUGUGUCAUGCUUCAGAGUCGAUCAGCAACAACAAUUAUGACAGCAACUGGAUGGAUGUCCCCCAUCACCUUUGGCUCUGGGGCUCGUCUACUUGCUCCGGCCUCCACCACCUUUGCCCGAAAGCUAGCGUAGAUAUAUGCAAGACGAUUACUACCGCGCCGCAGGGGUAGUUGUCCAUGGAUCAACCUCACGCUCCAAAACAAGAAACUUAUCAGAAAAGCAACGGGGAUAUCAUCAGCGGGACAGCGAGAUUACACUAACACGAAGUAGCACGCCACUAAUUAAUCGUCGCCACCUGAUCUCUUCCCUCGCCGGUCACCGCCGCCGAAAGGUCGAGAGACGGACAUGCGCAGCAAGGUAGCUGAGCUCUUACAAAAUGAGUGAAACCCCUUGGUUGCCCAUGUAAUCUUCUUUCCUCCUCUAAACUAAUUGCUUGCAGAUGAUUUUUGGCCCCGGUGGAGUGGAGGCGAUGGGGUUGGGCAGCUUUCUUUUCGAGAAAAUUCUCGCCGCCGUCGUUGUCGUCGCUUUAAACCGGCCAUUCAGAUCAUCAGAUGGCAUGGAAAGCGACGAGCAAGCAGAGUCCGCACCGGGCGUCCAACAUGCGCCGGCCACGGCCAGUGCCCGGUAGGACGGUCCGCUGGGC